UACGCAGGCUGUUUCGUAAGUCGGGUGUGAAAUCCCGGGGCUCAACCCCGGAAUUGCGCCCGAGACUGCGGAGCUUGAAUGCGGGAGAGGGAAGCGGAAUUCCUGGUGUAGAGGUGAAAUUCGUAGAUAUCAGGAGGAACACCGGUGGCGAAAGCGGCUUCCUGGCCCGACAUUGACGCUCAUGUACGAGAGCGUGGGGAGCAAACA
rnacentral:rRNA from 1 species